rnacentral:rRNA from 1 species
UACGUAGGGUGCGAGCGUUGUCCGGAAUUACUGGGCGUAAAGAGCUCGUAGGUGGUUUGUCGCGUUGUCCGUGAAAACUCACAGCUCAACUGUGGGCGUGCGGACGAUACGGGCAGACUAGAGUACUGCAGGGGAGACUGGAAUUCCUGGUGUAGCGGUGGAAUGCGCAGAUAUCAGGAGGAACACCGGUGGCGAAGGCGGGUCUCUGGGCAGUAACUGACGCUGAGGAGCGAAAGCGUGGGGGAGCGAACAGG